ACAACACAACUGCAUCUCCUUCCCAACUCCUUGCUGCCUCCAGAGAAACCUGCCCCUUCAUGCUGAAAGGCCAGAAAUCUGUCCCUUUCAGUGUUGGGAAUCCAGGUGUUCUGCUCUCUCCCCUUCUCCAGCCAUUAAGUGCCCGAAACAGGCGGAGACAUCAAGGGGAGCAGGAUGUUCAGCUGCUCCCCAGGGAAGGGGCUCAGCACUCUUCACAGAAGCUGUCAUUACAUGCUUCACUGCAAAUUGCAAGGACCCUUGUUUUCAAGAAGAAAGGUAUCCCUGGCAGCUCCACUUGCCUGUCCACUCCUGCUUGGGUGAGUUUCUGCCUGCUCAGUGUGGCUUGGAGCACCAGACUCUUGGGCUGGGAAGAACUUGGCUAUGCUGUUGCAUUGCCUUGGAGGGCACUGGUCCCCCAUGUUCUGUAA
rnacentral:lncRNA from 1 species